UUUUCAGUUAUGUUGGCCUCAGAAAGUAUUUAUGAAAAGAAUAAUAAAUAAUUAAUUCAACUGGCUAGGAGCUGGAACUCCUCUCUGCCUCGACAAUAUACAUUGAAAUGCUGUUUAAAUUAUAAGAGCAAAUUGAUUCAAAAGGCUUCCAUUAGUGAGCUGGCAAACAGGUCUGAAGCCGGCUAAUAAAUUUUAGAUAAAGACAGUGCCUUUGAUGAGGAUGGCAACGCCGGAGUGCUGUUCUCGAGCCACCAGUGUGUUAAACAAGUGGCUAAAGUCUCGCCUCCUCCCCGUCUAAUAAGUCACUGCAUUAACCAUCAGCAGAGUCGGUCUCGGCGCCUGCCGUGAGCCUGGCAACUGCUUACAGAGCUGGGAGGCGACGGGCGAUCCGGGUUUCCAAUUUCAUGUCCCUUCCCACCACGCUAGUUUUUGGGGUUUUUUUUUGGUUGUUCCCCCCGCCUCUCCAUUUUUGGCCACCCCAUGGCACAUGGAGCUCCCAAGCAGGGAUCAGAUCUGAGCUGCAAUCUCGACCUAAGCUGCAGAUGCUGGGUCCUUAACUCACUGUGCCGGGCCAGGGGUUAAACCUGAGUCCCAGGAUGCCCCCAGUCCUGCUGCACCACAGUGGGAGCUCCCCACCACUCUGUUCUAACAGGUUUCACGGUAUAUUCAUCAAGGAGAAUUAGGCCCACCUGUGACAUAAAAAGUUCCACCUAUGCUGUGCCUUGCAGCCUAUCUAUGAGGAAAAAUUCUUAAUAAAAAUCAAGAAAUUAUGUGUAAAGGCCUUUGUUCCAUUCAGACAUGUAUCCUAUAAGCAGGUGGCAACGUGCCACUCGAGAUCACGGAAUAUUACACAGCUACUGAAAAGAGCAGGGGCAUUUACCAGCCUGGAAGGGAGACACCCACCAUCUUUGCCUUAGGGAGGCUGGAGCCGGCACCCACUUACUUUAGAAAAAGUCAACAAAGCCUCACUCGUGUGUGUUACACUCAUUACUGUCAGGGAAAAUGUGCAAGAAGUCGCCCCUGUGGCGCAUCUGGAUCGGCAGCAUCUGAGCAGCACCUGGACGCAGGUUCAAUCCCCAGCCCAAAACUCUGGGUGAAAGGAUCCGGUGUUGCCACAGCUGCAGCUCGGCCCUGAUCCCUGGCAGGGAUCUCCAUGUGCUGCAGGGCAGCCAAACAAGAAAAGAACAAAAAAAAAAAAGAUGUGUAAGAACAUACAAACUAUUAAUCAAGGUUACCUGGGGCAGGAGGUGGUGGUGAAGGGGGAAUAAGGAGCAAAAGAGGAGAGUUUAGUGCUCAAACGAGCAGGCGUCUAAUAUCAAAACAGUCAACAGAAAGGGUUUUACGGCUGGCACAUUAUCCUGAAAUGGGCAAGCCGUUUUUUCUUUUAGUUUCCUUCUACCUGGCCCAUUUGGGGAAGGCUGUCAAGGACCACUCUGCCCUUUCCUUCCAUCCGCCUUUCCACCCAGCCAACCAACAGCCAGUCCUAGGAAGGGGCGGGCUAAGAGGAUACGGGUCGGGAGUCAGCUGGAUCUGGAGGAGGAUGAGAAGGAUGCGGAUGAUGCGGGCUCCACUCACGGCUCGCUGUGCGGCUCCGGGCCACGCCCUCCAUGUCUUUCAAGUGCACAGCGACGGCAGGAACAACGCUGAGUAUAUGGAUAAGGAGCCUGGGUCAGCCUGAUCCACGUUCUCUCUUUGCCGCUGUGCACCUUCAGAUCUUGGCAUGGCUAGCUCUGGGCACAGUAAACCACGCUUGGCUGUAACGGUGCCAAGUGUUCUGAUAACACCAAAACACAGUACAGGGACUUGAUUACCAAGGAAUCCAAGUCUAACCCUCUUCAGGUUGAACCACUUGCCAAUGGCAGGAAAUGGCUAGGUUUUUUGUUUGGUUUUUGUCUUUUCAGGGCCACACCUGUGGCAUAUGGAGGUUCCCAGGCUAGGGGUCAAAUCGGAGCUGUAGCUGCUGGCCUGCACCACAGCCCCAGCAAUGCCAGAUUCAAGCUGUGUCUGUGACCUACACCACAACUCAUAACAAUGCUGGAUCCUUAAACCACGGAAAGAGGCCAGGGAUCAAACCCGAGCCCUCGUGGAUAGUAGUUGGGUUUGUUAACCCCUGCACCACGAUGGCAACUUCUCACAGAGUCACUCGUGAAGUGGAGCUACUAUGUCAUAGGCACAGCCUUGGGCCCACUAUUGGGGGAAGUGGAAUUUACAGACGAAACCCCAGAGCAGAUGCUUCUCCUCACUACAUGUGGACCUGAUGCAGCUCAAGGGAAUGGGAUGAGAGCCGUCCAGGGCAGGUUUCUUAGAAAGAGCAUCAUCUGUCAACAGCCGCUCAGCCCUCCACUUGGCAGGCUAGACGGGCAAGCCACAAGCACUCCGCGCUCCCAAGGCCCUGCAGACACUGCCCGGGCAGCGGUGAGGCGACACACACGGCUCGGGGCCCUCGGGGAGCAAUCCUCAGGAAAGUUCCCGACACUGAACGCUCACUUUCCAAUUCCAAUGGGCGACAAAAUGAAAUAUCCAAGUUGUGCAAAUGGAGAAAAUGAAGUGAGAACUUAGAGUUAUUUAUUUUUAAUUAAGCUCUUAAUUAUAUAACAACAAAACAAGCGAUUAAUUUCCACGUGGCUACAUUCAGCAUUCCACACUUAAAUGAGGCAGAAAAGAACAACUUCAGUGCGUUUUCUCUUCUUUCCUAGAUAAACAUAAGACAGAAAAUUGGGCGUGUGUGUCUGACAGAGAGAGACAGAGAAAGGUUCUGACACAGAGAUGGAUGAAAAUAAGAACUUGCAUUUGUUGGAGUUCCCGUCGUGGCGCAGUGGUUAACGAAUCCGACUAGGAACCAUGAGGUUAAAGGUUCGAUCCCUGGCCUUGCUCAGUGAGUUGAGGAUCUGGCAAUGCCGUGAGCUGUGGUGUAGGUUGCAGACGUGGCUUGGAUCUUGAGUUGCUGUGACUCUGGCGUAGGCCGGCAGCUACAGCUCUGAUUGGACCCCUAGCCUGGGAACCUCCGUAUGCUGCAGGAGCGACCCUAGAAAAGGCAAAAAAGACAAGAAAAAAAAACAGAUAAACCGUAUGAUUGGAGUGUUCACAGUAGCGAAUCCAGCCACAUUAGCUCAGUGAGUCCUCAGACAACCCCGCGCAGGGGCUACUCGUACUCCCUUUGGACUGAUGAGCAACCCCCAGUUCAGAAAGACCCAGGAGCUCGCCUAAGUCUCUGCCAGUGAGUGCAGAGCCAGGUCUGAUGCCAGCUCCAAUGAGUCUGCUGGCAACAGAUAUGCGCUCCCGACCCCCGCCCCCGGCCUUAGAGAAAAGCAACAGGAGAGGGAGAGAACCAAGGCAGAAGAGGAGGCUCCAGGAGGGGUCACCAAACCUUCUGGAAAGGCCCAGACAGGAAGUAUUUUACAGGCUUUAUGGGCAUGGUCUCUGUUCCAACUACUAGCCCUGCCACCCCAGGGCAAAGACAGCCACAGGAACAUAUAAACCAAGGAGCACGGGGCUGCGUUCCAAGCAAACUCUAGUUAUGGACACAGGACUCUGAUUUCCAUACAAUUUCCGUGAGCCACAAAACACGACAGGCCGACCUCGCAUUCUCAAUUCGCUGUGUUGUGCUCUGACGAUACCUCCCUCUACAAAUCUAACGUUUGGGGUGCCACUUUCCCAACGGCAUUGCUUCUAAAUUAGCGCUGUUUUUUCAGUUUGAUUUUUUUUUAGACGUAAUGCUAUUUGCACAGAGAAUAGACGGCAGGAGAGUGUAAAUAUCGCUUUGAUACACACUGGGAACCCCCCAAAUUCCUGUGACUCGACUCACCGUGGAGCUCAGGAGCUGAACCUGCAGGAUCUCCAAGGUCUGCCUGUACGCUUGAUUUUUUUCAGACAUACACAAAUGUAGAAAGCCCUUCUCAGCUCCAGGGCUGGACAAAAACACAUGGCGAGCCAGAUGCGGCCGACGAGCCGUGCUUCGCAGACCCUUUCCAGCAGAGCCAACGGGACUGCGCUGCAGCAUCAGACAGACCUGAGGCUGAGCAAUGUAACCCAAGGCCAGUUCCUUAACAGCUCCUACACCUGUCUCCAGGUUGGGCGGGGGGGGGGGGGGGGAAAUAAAGCAUCCACCCCAAGAUUUUAUCCCAAGAAGUUAACUGAAAUGAUGCAGAAUGAGACCAGAAUUAUCCUGGACACGGGACAGACAAUCCAUUCGGGUGUCCAUUCGCUGCACAGAUCACUGCUCGAGUCCCUGUUCUGGGCCAGGAACUAUUUUCCAAGCUGAAGAUGCAGCUGCAAAGAAAUCAAAAACCAGACAAGACGUUCUGCCCUCAAGGAGCUGGUAUUCCAGCUCCGCGGGUGUCCGGAGGAAAGCGGCACGCAGAGACCAGCUCAGGAAAACGAGUCAGCAAACAGGCUACUGCUCUGCCGUCAAUCAAAUCUUCCGAGUCACCCACCUGCAACGCAGCAGGGGGAACGCCCGGCACAGGAGGACACCGAGAAGGCCGCAGAGGGCAGAGCGCACGCUGGCCUGGGGGACACAGCAGUAGCUACGCCCCUCGCGAUCCUGGACGUGUGACUACAAGCAGCAGUUAAUGACGAGGAGGGAAGAGGAAGAGUCCACGGCGGCACCUGUGCUCCUGGCCAAGAGCAACCCUGCACCGAACCAAAGCCCCAGCUCGUCUCAAGCCCCGCGUGUCCACAGGAGUCCCUCUGCUUACACUGAAGAGAUGGGAGAAUUAAGGGGAACACACUCAACAGAAAAAGCGGUCAUCUCCUGAGCAUGGCUCGAGAAGGCGUCACAUCUCCACGUGCGUAAGAAUAAAACUUCUUAACUCAUCUCUCGGCACCCUGAUGUGGGGGCCCCAAACAGCCUCUCAGGCUGGUCACCAGGAGAAAAGUCGCCUUGUGGGCUGUAACUCACCUUCUCCCAAGUGGGUCCCUGGGGCCCUCCAUGGUGACCAGCAAAUUCAUGCUAAAUCUCACUUCAGAAUGAUGGAGACCCAACAAGUGACCUCCGGUAUAGCAUCCACAGCUACGCUCAGGGCGGAUGGCCAGAAACAAGCCACCCGGAGAAAAACGUGUACCUCACCGCUCCGCGGCAAAAAGCUUCCACAGCCGAACCCGAACUUCUCUGCUGCAGUAAAGGAAAGGGUGUGAGAUGGCAAAACGGCCCGAUCUUCAAAGGAUGAAAUACAGCGAGG
rnacentral:lncRNA from 1 species